rnacentral:rRNA from 1 species
UCUUGCUGACGAGUGGCGGACGGGUGAGUAACGUAUGGGGAUCUGCCGAAUGGAGGGGGACAACAGUUGGAAACGACUGCUAAUACCGCAUUGUGUCGCGAGACCAAAGCAUGGGACCUUAGGGCCAUGCGCCAUUUGAUGAACCCAUAUGGGAUUAGCUAGUAGGUGAGGUAAUGGCUCACCUAGGCGACGAUCUCUAGCUGGUCUGAGAGGAUGACCAGCCGCACUGGGACUGAGACACGGCCCAGACUCCUACGGGAGGCAGCAGUGGGGAAUAUUGCACAAUGGGGGAAACCCUGAUGCACCCAUGCCGCGUGUAUGAAGAAGGCCUUCGGGUUGUAAAGUACUUUCGGUAGCGAGGAAGGGGUUAUAUCUAAUAGGUGUAACCAUUGACGUUAACUACAGAAGAAGCACCGGCUAACUCCGUGCCAGCAGCCCGCGGUAAUACGGAGGGUGCGAGCGUUAAUCGCAAUGACUGGCCGUAAAAGGGCAUGUAGGUGG